rnacentral:rRNA from 1 species
UGGAGUAUCGAUAACGAUUAGACGACCGUUGUAGUCCCAACCACAAACUUUGCUGACUGGCUGUGUGCCGAGGUCGACCUUCGACGCAUAUCUUCUGCGGAGCCUACGCAAAAGCAUACUCUUCGAGUCUCUUGGAGAGUAUGCCCGACAAGAGUGAAUAUUUAAGAAAGUUGGCGGAGUCCCAUACAGUGAUAGCUGGGACGUGCGGCUUAUAUUUGAUUCAACACGGGGAAACUUACCGAGGGCCUCGGCACGUGUGAGUCGCCCUCGUCACCUCGGUAAAGGGUUUGGUUGAAAUCCGGCGACGCAUUGUGUGUGGGGGUGUGCAUGGCCCCCGAUAGGCCGAUGGACUGGUUUUUUGGUAAAAUCCGCGAAUCCCGCAAGACCCAAUUCUCCUGAUUCCGACUGCAUCUGACGGUAUCGCUGGUAGUACACGGAUCGGUCUAAACG